rnacentral:rRNA from 1 species
GAUCAUGGCUCAGGAUGAACGCUAGCGUACAGGCUUAACACAUGCAAGUCGAGGGGCAGCGGGAUCUAGCUUGCUGGAUUGCCGGCGACCGGCGCACGGGUGAGUAACGCGUAUCCAACCUUCCCCUUAGUAGGGCAUAGCCCGUAGAAAUGCGGAUUAAUACCCUAUGUUAUUCGUCGAGGACAUCUGAAGUGAAUCAAAGGUUUACCGCUAAGGGAUGGGGAUGCGUCUGAUUAGGCAGCAGGCGGGGUAACGGCCCACCUGGCCUACGAUCAGUAGGGGUUCUGAGAGGAAGGUCCCCCACAUUGGAACUGAGACACGGUCCAAACUCCUACGGGAGGCAGCAGUGAGGAAUAUUGGUCAAUGGGGCGCGAGCCUGAACCAGCCAAGUAGCGUGCAGGAUGACGGCCCUAUGGGUUGUAAACUGCUUUUAUGCGGGGAUAAAGUUCACUACGUGUAGUGUUUUGUAGGUACCGCAUGAAUAAGGACCGGCUAAUUCCGUGCCAGCCGCCGC